GGUCGAAGCUACAAAGGGCGUACGGUGAAUGCCUUGGUGUCAGGAGCCGAUGAAGGGCGUAGUAGGCCACGAUAAGCCUCGGGAAGCCGCGAACAGGCUAAUCCGGGGAUGCCCGAAUGGGGAAACCCGGCGUGCUAAAUGCGCGUCAUCCGUGCGUGAACACAUAGCGUACGGAGGGGAACCGGGGGAACUGAACCAUCUUAGUACCCCGAGGAGAAUAAAGCAACCGCGAGUCCCCUAGUAGUGGCGAGCGAACGGGGAUCAGCCCAAACCUGCUUGAGGUGUUGCCUGCGGGCUUACUCAAGUGGGGGUCGUGGGACGACCACGGAGGACCGCAGACCUCCAACGGAGUUACAAAUCCAUACUUUAGCAGAUAGAGUGCUGGAAAGCACCGCCAUAGAGGGUAACAGCCCCGUAUGCGAAAAGGUGUGGACUCCGGGUAUGUUCCCAAGUACCACGGGACACGAGAAACCCUGUGGGAAUUCGGGGGGACCACCCUCCAAGGCUAAAUACUCCUGAUGACCGAUAGUGAACCAGUACCGUGAGGGAAAGGUGAAAAGCACCCCAGGCGGGGAGUGAAAUAGAACCUGAAACCGUAUGCCUACAAUCAGUCGGAGCCCUAUGCCUGUCUUCGGACAGGAAUGGGUGACGGCGUGCUUCUUGCAUAAUGAGCCGGCGAGUUACGGUAUGCAGCAAGGUUAAGGAGUUCCGCUCCGGAGCCGUAGGGAAACCGAGUCUGAAUAGGGCGAUUUAGUUGCAUGUCGUAGACCCGAAACCGAGCGAUCUAUCCAUGGCCAGGCUGAAGCGCGGCUAAUCCCGCGUGAAAGGCCGAACCAGCUGGUGUUGAAAAACCUUCGGAUGAGCUGUGGAUAGCGGUGAAACGCCAAUCGAGCUCGGAGAUAGCUGGUUCUCCCCGAAAUAGCUUUAGGGCUAGCCUCAGGCGAUAAGUCAUGGAGGUAGAGCACUGGAUGGGCUAGGGGGCCUACAAGCCUACCGCACUCAACCAAACUCCGAAUGCCGUGACUCGUACCCUGGGAGUCGGACUGCGGGAGAUAAGUUUCGUAGUCGAGAGGGAUUCAGCCCAGACCGACGGCUAAGGUCCCCAAACUGAGCUAAGUGGGAAAGGAUGUGGAACGGCUUAGACAACCAGGAGGUUGGCUUAGAAGCAGCCAUCCUUGAAACAACGCGUAACAGCGGACUGGUCGAGCUGUUCUGCGCCGAUGAUCCAACGGGGCUUAAGCUCAGUACCGAAGCCUCGGAUUCCCUUAUGGGAAUGGUAGGGGAGCGUUCCGCGCUAGGCUGAAGCCAGACCGUGAGGACUGGUGGACGAAGCGGAAGUGCGAAUGCCGGCAUGAGUAGCGAAAAAGAAAGUGAGAAUCUUUCUCGCCGAAAGCCUAAGGUUUCUUCAGGAAGGCUCGUCCUCUGAAGUUUAGCCGGUCCUAACCCGAGGCCGAAAGGCGUAGGGGAUGGGUAGUCCGGUAGAUAUUCCGGCGCCUCCAGUAAGCGUUUGAUCUAUGGGGUGACGCGGUCAGUAAGCCCAUCGCACUGCUCGGAUUAGUGCGUCGAAGCCCGUAGGGGAGCGGAUAGGCAAAUCCGUCCGCUCAUCACCCGAGGGGCCCUAGGGAAGCGCGCAGAAAUGCAAGCCAACUGGGUGGAUAGACCGCCAAGAAAAGCCUCUAUGAGAGCAAGCUGGAGACCGUACCGCAAACCGCCACAGGUAGGCAGGGAGAGUAUCCCAAGGCGCGCGAGAGAACCCUCCGUAAGGAAUUCGGCAAAUUAGCCCCGUAACUUCGGGAGAAGGGGUGCCUCGUUAGGGUGAAGCGGCUUGCCCGCGGAGCCCGAGGAGGUCGCAGCGAACAGGCCUAGGCGACUGUUUACCACAAACACAGGUCUCUGCUAAAGCGUAAGCUGAUGUAUAGGGGCCGACACCUGCCCAAUGCCAGAAGGUUAAGGGGAAACGUUAGCUUCGGCAAAGCGUAGAACCGAAGCCCUGGUGAAUGGCGGCCGUAACUAUAACGGUCCUAAGGUAGCGAAAUUCCUUGCCGGCUAAAAACCGACCUGCACGAAAGGUGUAACGACCUGGGCGCUGUCUCGCGGAGGGACUCGGCGAAAUUGUAGCACCUGCGAAGAUGCAGGUUACCCGCAACAGGACGGAGAGACCCCGUGGAGCUUUACUAUAGCCUGGUAUUGGUCUCGUGCAAGCCCUGUGCAGGAUAGGCGGGAGGCUUUGAAGCCGGGGCGUCAGCCUCGGUGGAGCCGACGGUGAGAUACCGCUCUUGGCUUGUCUUGAGCCCUAACCCCUGCCGUAAUCCGGUAGGGGGACCGUAUCAGGUGGGUAGUUUGACUGGGGCGGUCGCCUCCUAAAAGGUAACGGAGGCGCCCAAAGGUUCCCUCAGUGCGGUCGGAAAUCGCACGUCGAGUGUAAGGGCAUAAGGGAGCUUAACUGUGAGACCUACAGGUCGAGCAGAUACGAAAGUAGGGCCUAGUGAUCCUGCGGUUCAAAGUGGGAUGGCCGUGGCUCAUCGGAUAAAAGUUACCCCGGGGAUAACAGGCUCAUCUCCCCCAAGCGUCCACAGCGACGGGGAGGUUUGGCACCUCGAUGUCGGCUCGUCGCAUCCUGGGGCUGUAGCAGGUCCCAAGGGUCGGGCUGUCCGCCCGUUAAAGCCGGUACGCGAGCUGGGUUCAGAACGUCGUGAGACAGUUCGGUCCCUAUCCGUUGCGGGCGUAGGAGGCUUGAGAGGCGCUGCUCCCAGUACGAGAGGACCGGAGUGGACUGACCUCUGGUGUACCAGUUGUUCCGCCAGGAGCACACGCUGGGUAGCUAUGUCAGGACCAGAUAACCGCUGAAAGCAUCUAAGUGGGAAACUGACCUCAAGAUUAGGCCUCCGCAGGGUUAACCUGAUAAGACCCCACGUAGACCACGUGGUUGAUAGGCCGGGUGUGUAAGGCCAGCAAUGGCUUCAGCUUACCGGUACUAAUCGGUCGAAUCGCUUCAUAU
rnacentral:rRNA from 1 species